ACUUCCGAGCCGCUUAUGAUCGUGAGGGGGGUGAGGGGAUCAGAGUAGCAGCGGCGGGUAGUUUGGGCCCGGACCGAGGGCGCAACAGGUGCGAUCAGGUAUACGAGGGCGCAACUCGGAGCCUCCUCCUCCUCCGCUCGCGAGAACAGCUACUAUGUGCAGUGUCGUUAAUUCCCCAACAAGAGUGCACACUCCUUAUCAAAGAUACUAGAGGAGCUCCUCUAGUAUCUUUGCUCCAUAUCACCUCCCAAGGAUAGGGGCUGGGUGUCAAUGCUUUCAGGAGUCACAAGAGAUGCUAGAGUUCAAAGCAAAACUGUUGUAGGAACAGCAUGCCGAGCCCUACAAGUAAAGGGAUAUUCGACGUGUGGGCUCGGGGCUCUGCAUCACCCACCACCUGCCGACUGGUUCUCCUGACCUAUCUCAAACUGCCCAUCAUAUACGGUUUCGCUUAGUACCGUCCUUCUCCGAUUCUAGCCUCUGCUGUUUCUACUUAUCGCCCUCUGCACUGUCUCUCCCUCCACCCGCCCCUACUGCAUUUGCACCCUCUUUUUCUCUCUCGUUUUCUGUUUCCUCCAGCCUCUAACUCCCAACAUCAUGCUGUGGACAGAAAUAAUUCACUUGGACUCUGGGGUUUAUUACAAGUUGGCCAGUCUGGGAGAACCUGUCCCAAGGCAGAUCCAAAAUGUAUUUUAUUUUUAUGCAUUUCUUUAUUCUCUUCUACCCUGUUUCAGCUGUGAGUGUAUAUGAUGAGCUGAAUAUGUUUUGCUGUUCUAUGCUCUAAUGCACUUGGGGCUACGUAAGCAGUGUGCAGUCCAGUUUUUACCAGACUACAGUUCGGCGUUUAAUACCAUCAUCCCUUCCAAGCUGGUUACCAAACUCACGGAACUGGGCCUCUGCGCAUCCCUCUGCAAUUGGAUCCUCGACGUCCUCAUCCACAGACCACAGUCUGUUCGAAUUGGAGGAACCACUUCAUCCUCAGUAACAAUUAGUACGGGGGCACCCCAAGGCUGUGUGCUCAGCUUUACUCACUCUAUACCCAUGACUGCGUAGCCGGACAUAAUGCGAUCUCUGGCAUCAAGUUCGCCGACGAGUAUAGAAGUGAGAUCGACCGACUGACCAAAUGGUGCCAGCACAACAACCUGGCUCUCAACAUCAGUAAGACCAAGGAACUGAUUGUGGACUUUGGUAGGGGAAGGAUGAGGACCCACAAUCCUGUUCAUAUCAAUGGGACGAUGAUGGAGAGGAAUAACUUCAAAUUCCUGUUGUGCAUAUUUCCGAAGAUCUUUCCUGGACCCAGCAAACCGAUGCAAUUAUAAAGAAGGCACAUCAGCGACUCUACUUCCUGAGAAGAUUACGGAGAUUCGGCAUGUAGAAGAGGAUUCUCCUAAACUUCUACAGAGCAUUCUGACUGGUUGCAUCGUGGCCUGGUUCGGCAAUUUGAACGUCCAGGAGUGAAAAAGACUACAAAAGGUUUUGACCAUUGCCCAGUCCAUCACCGGCUUUGACCUCCCCACUGUCAAAGCGAUCUAUCGUAGUUGCUGCCUCAAAAAGACAGCCCAAAUCAUCAAGGACCCUCGCCAUCCUGGCUACACACUCAUCCCACCAUUGCCAUCAGGAAGAAGCUACAGGAGUAUGAGAACUGUAACGUCCAGGUUCAGGAACAGCUUCUUCCCUACAGCCAUUAGGCUAUUAAACACAACAACGAAUAAGCUCUGAGCUCAGAACUGCAAAAGACUGCUAUUAUUGCACUACAUUUGUUAUUUAUUGAACUUUUUCUUUUUUUUCUCUACCCCCGUUAUGUACUAUGUUUACAUAUUAACAUAUUCUGUUGUGCUGAAGCAAGUAAGAAUUUCAUUGUCUCAUCCGGGACAAAUGACAAUAAAACACAUCUUGGCUUGUCU